CCUGGUAGUCCACGCCCUAAACGAUGUCAACUAGUUGUUGGGGAUUCAUUUCCUUAGUAACGUAGCUAACGCGUGAAGUUGACCGCCUGGGGAGUACGGUCGCAAGAUUAAAACUCAAAGGAAUUGACGGGGACCCGCACAAGCGGUGGAUGAUGUGGAUUAAUUCGAUGCAACGCGAAAAACCUUACCUACCCUUGACAUGGUCGGAAUCCUGCUGAGAGGYGGGAGUGCUCGAAAGAGAACCGGCGCACAGGUGCUGCAUGGCUGUCGUCAGCUCGUGUCGUGAGAUGUUGGGUUAAGUCCCGCAACGAGCGCAACCCUUGUCCUUAGUUGCUACGCAAGAGCACUCUAAGGAGACUGCCGGUGACAAACCGGAGGAAGGUGGGGAUGACGUCAAGUCCUCAUGGCCCUUAUGGGUAGGGCUUCACACGUCAUACAAUGGUCGGAACAGAGGGUUGCCAACCCGCGAGGGGGAGCUAAUCCCAGAAAACCGAUCGUAGUCCGGAUUGCACUCUGCAACUCGAGUGCAUGAAGCUGGAAUCGCUAGUAAUCGCGGAUCAGCAUGCCGC
rnacentral:rRNA from 1 species